ACACGUAAACAACCUGCCUUCAGGAUGGGGACAACAGACGGAAACGACUGCUAAUACCGAAUAAGUUCCAAGAGCCGCAUGGCCCAUGGAAGAAAAGGUGGCCUCUACCUGUAAGCUAUCGCCUGAAGAGGGGUUUGCGUCUGAUUAGCUGGUUGGAGGGGUAACGGCCCACCAAGGCGACGAUCAGUAGCCGGUCUGAGAGGAUGAACGGCCACACUGGAACUGAGACACGGUCCAGACUUCUACGGGAGGCAGCAUG
rnacentral:rRNA from 1 species